UGGAUCUUUCGAAGAAUUUUGCUGCAACUUCCAUUCUUGUACUCAGCUAUGUGAAGUUUAUUGGAAAGAGUGAAGAUUCCUUAGCUGUUGCCCGUGCAGUUAUCCAACACAGUAUUUUAGCUGCAAUUCUUGCCAUGCUCGAUGGUCUACACAUGAAAUCUUUAGCGAUAGCACUUUCACCUAUCAUACCUUCAAUCAUUGUACUGGUCACUCCUAAGAUGGAGAAGCUCCACUUGGAUACUGAGAACCUGCAGGAGGACGAGGGGAUAUAUUGCAAAGAAUAGGAGGAGACACAAGUGCGUGCGUUGAUAAACUCUCAAGACAUGGAUUUUUUAUGAUGGAAAAGAUAUUAUCUCAUGUAAGAGAUAUAUGAAAUUAUCUCACUUGAUUUCUUUAGUUAGUUUCUUCACCACCCCGUAUUGUUAUUCUUCCUUCGAAGUACUUAUUUUAGAGUUUUAAUUUCAAUAUUGGUUCUCAUGUUUUUCCC